AAAUUUUCUAAUAUGUUUGUCUUUCUCUUCCUUCUCUUGUGCUCUAGGUACUGGAAACAGUUGACUCUGCUCCAUUUCGUUUAUAAUGGACUAGCCUAACGAAUCUCUUGUCAAUUAGCAAUUAUUUUCACUUGAUUUGUAGUUAGAAAACAAUAUAAAUAAUUUUACAGGCUAUUAACAUUUUUGUGCUUGUAUUGUUAGAACAUAAUUUUUAAAGUUGUAAGUAACUUCAUUGAGGUACAUUCUAAAAUAAAAUCACCAUUUAAAAUAUACAAUUAGUUUUGACAAAUGUAGUCACCCAUGUAACUACCAGCACAAUCAAAAUAUAGAAUAUUUUUAUCAUCCCAAAGCUAAAACAUUAAAAAAUUUAAAGUUUAUUCUUAGAGAUUGAUGCAACUUGCAUAUCUAAUCGAAAUUCCUUUUUCAGGUAAUGUGUCAGUGGAUGGAAAAGUUUAGAAAAGAUCUGUGUAGGUUCUGGAGCAACGUUUUCCCAGUAUUCUUUCAGUUUUUGAACAUCAUGGUGGUUGGAAUUACAGGAGCAGCUGUGGUAAUAACCAUCUUAAAGGUGUUUUUCCCAGUUUCUGAAUACAAAGGAAUUCUUCAGUUGGAUAAAGUGGACGUCAUACCUGUGACAGCUAUCAACUUAUAUCCAGAUGGUCCAGAGAAAAGAGCUGAAAACCUUGAAGAUAAAACAUGUAUUUAAAACGCCAUCUCAUAUCAUGGACUCCGAAGUAGCCUGUUGCCUCCAAAUUUGCCACUUGAAUAUAAUUUUCUUUAAAUCGUUAAGAAUCAGUUUAUACACUAGAGAAAUUGCUAAACUCUAAGACUGCCUGAAAAUUGACCUUUACAGUGCCAAGUUAAAGUUUACCUUAUUCUCGGCCGGGUGCAGUGGCUCAUGCCUGUAAUCCCAGGACUUUGGGAGGCCAAUGCGGGCGGAUCACGAGGUCAGAUCAAGACCAUCCUGCCAACAUGGUGAAACCCUGU
rnacentral:lncRNA from 10 species